ACCCCUAGGCGAGCGUGGGCGGCCUACACCUUCCCUUCCCCUUUCACCACCCCGAGGGUCAGGGAUCCGUCUUGGGCCAACUGACUUGUUUCCUCGUUCCUCCCCAGCCGUCCCAGGAGUCCUGACAUUGGCUAGCCAGAGCUCGUCGCGUCUGCCUGAAAGGCCGCUCCUCUACCAAGAGCUCUCAGAUUCCCUAGGAAACCCCCUGAGGGGUUAGCAAUCACCUCUAGUAGGUUUCGGUCCCAAGAUACUGAAGGUCAGGUAAAAUGGGGAAUUCAGGAGGGUUCUCUGAAAAGUACGUUGAUAAAACACCUAUUGUUGACUGAAGGGGUGUAGAUUACAUUGGAUUAAUGGGAUAUGGCCUACUUACACCUGGCUGUGGUUCCACCAUCAGUGGCUGUUGGCAAGUUGCCUCUGAAAAAUGAGGAUAAUAAAGGCUGAUUACUGCUACAGGGUUGCUUUGAAGGUUAAAUGCUGUAAUAUAUGUGAAGUGCUUAGCAUAGUAUCUGAAAGUACUCAGUUAAUGUUAGAUAUUAUUACAUGGACAAAUGAAGGAAGAAAUAGGACCCUAAAAGGUUUCAAGUCAACUCUCCUAAAUUGUGAAGAAUAGGCUUUAAUCCCUUGUACUAACCAGGUUUACAGCUCUAUUUCCUAUCUCCACUUCUUUCAUUGUAUUCAGUCAGUCAGUCAACAAACAUUCACCGAAACUCAAACAGACACUGAGGGGACACACUGGUGAGAGAAACAGAAAAGCUCUGCCUUCAUGGAGCUGACAGUCUAGUGGGAAAAAGAGGGACAAAAGUACUUCAUCACAUUUUGAAGGAAACAUGCUAUAAAUGUUAUGAACAGAAAUCUGGGAGAGCAAAUACCAGGAUAGCUUAAAAAAAACCAGAGUGGUCAAGAAAGGCCCAUCUGAGGGAUGAGAAGGAGCCAGUAGAGAAAGGAGCCAGCCAGUAGAGAAAUGCCCUGGGGAAUUGUUUAAGGCAGAGGAAACAGCUGUGCAAAGGACCGGAGGUAAGAGGGAACUUGGCUGUUGGAACUAAGUGCUGGGGAAUCCAUGGUGCAAGGAGGAGCCUGCCCUGAGAAUGGAGAGCAUCACCUUUUGUACCAUAUAGGGCGCCUAGAGUGCAGAUGGAACUGGCCAAGUUGCAUUAGAAGGAGGAAUUCAGUAAAGACACAGCUAUGUUACAACCACAUGGGCAAAGUUUUGCAACAGAAUGGCCUUUAAAUAGAAUACUGCCCAGUUGAAAACUUAGGCAAUCGUAAUGGAAUAAACGAAACAAAUCGAUCUGGCAAAAAUACAGAAGAUUUGCAGAAACAGGCUGUUCACUUCCCACCCUGGUGCUGUCACUGCAGAUUGCUUCAGAGCUGCUGUCUCCUGUGCUUGGACAAAGUGUCGGGCAUCCUUCUUUGUCAUCACAAUCCUGGCGUCUGCCCUGUGUGCUGAGUGCCUUGCAGAGCCAGCAGGCCAGCCCC